rnacentral:rRNA from 1 species
AGAGUUUGAUCAUGGCUCAGGAUGAACGCUAGCUACAGGCUUAACACAUGCAAGUCGAGGGGCAUCAGUUUGGUUUGCUUGCAAACCAAAGCUGGCGACCGGCGCACGGGUGAGUAACACGUAUCCAACCUGCCUCAUACUCGGGGAUAGCCUUUCGAAAGAAAGAUUAAUAUCCGAUAGCAUAUAUUUCCCGCAUGGGUUUUAUAUUAAAGAAAUUCGGUAUGAGAUGGGGAUGCGUUCCAUUAGUUUGUUGGCGGGGUAACGGCCCACCAAGACUACGAUGGAUAGGGGUUCUGAGAGGAAGGUCCCCCACAUUGGAACUGAGACACGGUCCAAACUCCUACGGGAGGCAGCAGUGAGGAAUAUUGGUCAAUGGACGCGAGUCUGAACCAGCCAAGUAGCGUGAAGGAUGACUGCCCUAUGGGUUGUAAACUUCUUUUAUAUGGGAAUAAAGUGGUCCACGUGUGGAUUUUUGUAUGUACCAUAUGAAUAAGGAUCGGCUAACUCCGUGCCAGCAGCCGCGGUAAUACGGAGGAUCCGAGCGUUAUCCGGAUUUAUUGGGUUUAAAGGGAGCGUA